UACGUAGGGGGCAAGCGUUGUCCGGAUUUACUGGGCGUAAAGAGCGCGUAGGCGGAACGUUAAGCGGGGCCGGAAAGCCCCCGGCUCAACCGGGGAAGGGGCCGCGAACUGGCGUUCUUGAGGGGGAGAGGGGAGAGCGGAAUUCCUGGUGUAGCGGUGAAGUGCGUAGAGAUCAGGAGGAACACCCAUGGCGAAGGCAGCUCUCUGGCUUCACCCUGACGCUGAGGCGCGAAAGCGUGGGGAGCAAACGGG
rnacentral:rRNA from 1 species